AGGGUUAUAGUUAAAUAUAACAUCUGGGUUGCAUUCAGAAAGUAUUGAUAAAUUCAAUUUACCUU
rnacentral:tRNA from 1 species